rnacentral:rRNA from 1 species
UACGUAGGGUGCGAGCGUUGUCCGGAUUUAUUGGGCGUAAAGAGCUCGUAGGCGGUUUGGCAAGUCGGGUGUGAAAACUCCGGGCUCAAUUCGGAGACGCCACUCGAUACUGCCAUGACUCGAGUCCGGUAGGGGAGUGCGGAAUUCCUGGUGUAGCGGUGAAAUGCGCAGAUAUCAGGAGGAACACCGGUGGCGAAGGCGGCACUCUGGGCCGGUACUGACGCUGAGGAGCGAAAGCGUGGGGAGCGAACAGG